GUGAAAGUUUCCAAGGGCGCAUGGUGGAUGCCUUGGCAACAGGAGCCGAAGAAGGACGUGGGAAUCUGCGAUAAGCCUGGUGGAGUCGAUAACCGGACGUUGAGACCAGGAUUUCCGAAUGGGGAAACCCCGCACGACGUGUCGUGUGACCCCCGGUUGAACACAUAGACCGGGUGGAGGGAACGUGGGGAAGUGAAACAUCUCAGUACCCACAGGAAGAGAAAACAAAAGUGAUUCCGUUAGUAGUGGCGAGCGAACGCGGAUGGGGCUAAACCGUAUGUGUGUGAUACCCGGCAGGGGUUGCAUGUGCGGUGUUGUGGGCCCCUCCUUGUCAUGUCUGCCGGCAUGGCGCAGUGAGGUGCGGGCAUAUAGACGAACCAGUGUGGAUGCUGGACCGUAGAGGGUGAGAGUCCCGUAGUCGAAAUGUGUUCCGCCGCUGUUGGAGGGUUGCCCGAGUAGCACGGGGCCCGAGGAAUCCCGUGUGAAUCUGCCAGGACCACCUGGUAAGCCUGAAUACUACCUGUUGACCGAUAGCGGAUCAGUACCGUGAGGGAAUGGUGAAAAGUACCCCGGGAGGGGAGUGAAAUAGUACCUGAAACCAUGUGCCUACAAACCGUUGGAGCCUCCUUGUGGGGUGACAGCGUGCCUUUUGAAGAAUGAGCCUGCGAGUUAGUGAUACGUGGCGAGGUUAACCCGUGUGGGGAAGCCGUAGCGAAAGCGAGUCUGAAUAGGGCGAUUGAGUCGCGUGUCCUA
rnacentral:rRNA from 1 species